GACCGUUGCUACCCCAGUAUACGCGUCAGCCUCGUUUUCAUUCGAGUGACGACGACGGACGGUUCAACUUCGACCGAGAGACGACGGUUGCGCUUUCUCAAGGAAAUUGGUUUCAGACUAAAUAAAUUUGACCAUUUUUAAGUUCUGUUUGUAAUUAUUGUCAAAUCGUACGUUUUUAAAGCGACUGUCUUGACAUAUAUCGUUUACAUCGACGUUUCCACAACAAAGGUUUCAAGCUCCAGUCGACCUGCUUGUGGCAGAAAACCAAACAAUGACUAAGGGAGAAGACUCUCACUCUGAAAUGGCCAACGUUUGUCAGAGUGAUGGCAUCAAUGUAAUCUUUGACCAGAGCAGCCCUUCCUCAUCUCACUCCCGCUCACGAUCCAGAAGCGGCAGCUGCAGUAGAAGCUCCCUUGGCUCUAACCGCUACAGGGGACGUGACAGCCACAGGAGAGGCUACAAGUCUAAAAAAUCUUCUUCAUCCAGCAGCAGGUCCUCCUCCACUGGCAGGUCCCGCUCUCACCCUCGUUGCCACAGACCUUCCUCCCGCUGUCGCUGUGACAACCAUCGUAGAUAUGGCCGUAGCCGCCGAUCCCCACCACGCCGCUACAGGGCCCAGUCUCGCUCCUACAGCCGCUCACCCUCGCCAGACAGGUCCUCGCAUAGCAGACGCCCUCGCAAGUACAGGAGGACAGUGAGGCGUCUUUCUCGAUCUCCAUCCAGAACUCGCAGAGGGGGCUCCAGGUCUGGAUCUUCAGGGCAUUCUGGGAACUUGAGUUUGGACAAUAAAAGUCAACUACUGAAAGCAGCAGUGGCCAAUGCUACGACAGUCCUAGGAGUGGAGAAGCUGGAACUUCCUGAGAGUGUGAAACCAAUCCUAUCAGAGCCGUCUGAGACUAAACGGGUGUCACCAGAGACAUGGGUGAGACAAGACCCUGAAAAGACUCCAUCACAGGCAGAGUUUUUUUUUCUCCAUCUUGGACAACAUGUAAAUACAAGGUAAGGGGUGUUGAGAUAGAACAUUUUAGGGAUAGAUAAUACUUGUGCAUGACAGUGCACUGACCAUGAUAACAUUUUUUACCAUGAGUAAGGGACCCAGUUCUGUAGCAGUACACAAUGACUUGUUAAUUGUAAACACUUUUAUAGUAAUUUGAUCCUGGCUGUCACUCCAUUUCAUGAAAUAAAAAACAAAGAAUACAGAAUAUGAAGCACAGUGUAAUUGCUACAGAUAUAUUAUUAGCUUCAGGUAUAUGUUGUGUUGAAUUUCCUGUGUCUUGCUUUAAUCCUUGCACCCCUGAGGGAAUACACAUGCUCUCUGUAUUUAUUCCUGUUUUCGUAGAUAACAUGACAGUGGUCUCCUUCACUCUUCGGCACCUCGGAUUAAAGGGCUGUCAUGUGACUUGGGUGACAACUAUGUGUUUGCGUGAAAGGUUAUCUGUUAACUCUUUUAAUGUUAACAAUGUCAGAAUCCUCCACUCGCUGAUGGAGCAAAGGCGUGUGGACUGCAUUAUAGUGACUAUCCCUGUCGAGAGCUAAAAACAGACGAAGAACUCCUCUCCAUGUGCCAAAGAUAAGUCGGUUCGCCAGCUGAGGGCUGGGAAACCUGUGUCACCAUCAUUCUGCCACUGUAGACAGAGAAGACAUCCUUUUUUACUCUGUUUGCAUUUAAUUGUUUUAUUCUGUUUCAAGGUCUGUCCUUGUAGGAUUCAUUUAAUGUCGAGCCAAGCCUCUGACAGCAGUGGGAUGGGGGGGUUGGUUAAGUGUUGAAGCUAACACUUGAAUAAUUAACUAUGCCAUAGAAGUGCUUUUCACUACUAGCAAUGGGAACUCUAAUCUAUCUAUAUGAACUUCAAACUGUCAAAGCUGACUUCCAUCAGUUUUACACACUUCUAACUCUGCCUGUUUUUCUUGUCUCUUUGAAACAGAGCAGUGAUGCGGAGUCUGAUGAAAUGUCCAGCCCAAAGAU